rnacentral:rRNA from 1 species
CCUACGGGAGGCAGCAGUGGGGAAUAUUGGACAAUGGGGGCAACCCUGAUCCAGCCAUGCCGCGUGUGUGAAGAAGGCCCUCGGGUUGUAAAGCACUUUCAGCGAGGAAGAACGCCUAGCGGUUAAUACCCGCUAGGAAAGACAUCACUCGCAGAAGAAGCACCGGCUAACUCCGUGCCAGCAGCCGCGGUAAUACGGAGGGUGCAAGCGUUAAUCGGAAUUACAGGGCGUAAAGCGCGCGUAGGUGGCUUGAUAAGCCGGUUGUGAAAGCCCCGGGCUCAACCUGGGAACGGCAUCCGGAACUGUCAAGCUAGAGUGCAGGAGAGGAAGGUAGAAUUCCCGGUGUAGCGGUGAAAUGCGUAGAGAUCGGGAGGAAUACCAGUGGCGAAGGCGGCCUUCUGGACUGACACUGACACUGAGGUGCGAAAGCGUGGGUAGCAAACAGGAUUAGAUACCCUGGUAGUCCACGCCGUAAACGAUGUCGACCAGCCGUUGGGUGCCUAGCGCACUUUGUGGCGAAGUUAACGCGAUAAGUCGACCGCCUGGGGAGUACGGCCGCAAGGUUAAAACUCAAAUGAAUUGACGGA